AUGCUGAUUUCACAAGCGCGAAUGUCAUCAACCACCAAAAUUUCCAUGCUGGACAAAUGGAGAAUGGCUCCACUAUGGCUAAUCCUCAUGUUUGUGCUUCAGUUUGAAGGCAUCAGCGGAGACACCGUCAAGCUCUACCACACACCUGGACACGACGCCGUCCUGCCGUGUCACAUCCUAUCAUCGGCAACCUCGACGUGCUCCACAAUCACAUGGUUUUACAACAGUGCAGCCACAAAAGUGGUUGCGGAUGGAAUUGUUAAGAACGACUUGGUUCGAGCUGCCAGGCUGAGACUGGACAAGGGCUGCAAUCUGUUCAUCGACAGCAUCACUGCUGAGGAUGCCGGUCUCUACGUCUGUCGGAAGGGGAGGGCAACCAUGUUAGACACAAAUGUGGUUCUGAGUGUUCUGACCAUCUCCCCAUCUCCGCCAGACAGAAGUGGCGCAGAGGUGGCGUUAAAGUGCUCCCUGUUGGGACGCACUGGGCACCGUGGCUGUGGCGACAAGAGACUCCUCUGGGUGGACGAGGCAGGAACUGUGCUGAGUGGCGAUGGAGUCCGCAGCGAGGACACAGUGGGCGGCUGCGUCUCGAUUCUGACCGUGAACAGUGGCCACGGCAGGAGAUACACCUGCCGGCUUGUUGACGAGAGCAACGGCAACAACGUGCAGAUACAGGCUGACCACACGCUGGUCGUCACAGGUGGAGAAAGACCAACCAAACCACAUGAUGAUCCGGAGGACAAUCUGACCUAUAUCACCGUGAGCCACGUCAACCAAGGAGCCUCUGCUGUGAAACUGGUCAAAGAGGUGGAGAAUGUCACUUAUUCUACAAUCAAGACUCCGGUGACGACAGACGCAUGGUAUGUCAGCAUACCAUAA
rnacentral:lncRNA from 1 species